GUUCUUGGCCAUGCAAUUGGCAAGAACGAACAUUCUACAAUGACGCAGCCAAAGUAGAUCUUCUUGUGCCAAAUGCAUAUCAAUUAAAACUUGCACCUGACAAUGUUAUAGAGUGUUUGAUUAGAGAAGGACCGUUCAUUGUUAACAGACGAGGGGAAAAUAAAGACAUGUACAGAUGUAUAAAAGUUAACGACGUGUGUGAGGACAGCUUUGUGGUGAUAGAGACGGAUUUGAUCAAACUGGAUUCUCCUCCAAAUUUGUGUGACAUCUGUAGUCCUGAGAAACUUAUCAGCAAGCCGCAAGUAUGGGUCG